AUGGAGAGUUUGAUCCUGGCUCAGGAUGAACGCUAGCGGCAGGCCUAAUACAUGCAAGUCGAGGGGCAGCACGGUUUUCGGACUGGUGGCGACCGGCGCACGGGUGCGUAACGCGUAUGCAACCUACCCUAUACAGGGGGAUAGCCCAGAGAAAUUUGGAUUAAUACCCCAUAGUACUAUUUGAUGGCAUCUGAUGAUAGUUAAAGAUUUAUUGGUAUAGGAUGGGCAUGCGUUAGAUUAGUUAGUUGGUGAGGUAACGGCUCACCAAGGCGACGAUCUAUAGGGGUUCUGAGAGGAUGAUCCCCCACACUGGCACUGAGAUACGGGCCAGACUCCUACGGGAGGCAGCAGUGGGGAAUAUUGGACAAUGGGGGCAACCCUGAUCCAGCCAUGCCGCGUGCGUGAAGAAGGCCUUAGGGUUGUAAAGCGCUUUCAGCGGGGAAGAUAAUGACGGUACCCGCAGAAGAAGCCCCGGCUAACUCCGUGCCAGCAGCCGCGGUAAGACGGAGGGGGCUAGCGUUGAUCGGAAUUACUGGGCGUAAAGCGCGCGUAGGCGGUUUGCCAAGUUGAGGGUGAAAUCCCGGGGCUCAACCCCGGAACUGCCUUCAAAACUGGCAGACUUGAGUCCGGAAGAGGAGAGUGGAAUUCCCAGUGUAGAGGUGAAAUUCGUAGAUAUUGGAAAGA
rnacentral:rRNA from 1 species